rnacentral:lncRNA from 1 species
GGAAUUCAUGCCUAGCAGCUGGCUAUGCAUCGCUUGCUGCUGUUGUAGUAACGAGUACUGCUGUUGGCCGUACAUCAUAGAUGAACGCGCAGCCAUUAGUGCUUGUGGAGACAUUUGUUGUGCUUGUUGUUGUUGUUGCAUGUAGUGACCUCCUGGUUGCUGCAUCAUCCCACCUUGAGGAUACUGAAUAUGAAGAGUAGGUACUUGAGGCUGAGAAUCAGCAAUGGCAGCAAGGUACAUAAGGUUCCUCUGA